UACAGAGGGUGCGAGCGUUUAAUCGGAAUUACUGGGCGUAAAGCGCACGUAGGUGGCGACGUAAGUCGGGUGUGAAAUCCCUGGGCUCAACCUGGGAACGGCAUUCGAGACUGUGUUGCUGGAGUACGGAAGAGGAGGGCGGAAUUCCCGGUGUAGCGGUGAAAUGCGUAGAUAUUGGGAGGAACACCAGUGGCGAAGGCGGCUCACUGGACGGUGACUGACGCUAAGACGCGAAAAGCGUGGGGAGCAAACAGG
rnacentral:rRNA from 1 species